UACGGGGGGGGCAAGCGUUGUUCGGAAUUACUGGGCGUAAAGGGCUCGUAGGCGGCCAACUAAGUCAGACGUGAAAUCCCUCGGCUUAACCGGGGAACUGCGUCUGAUACUGGAUGGCUUGAGGUUGGGAGAGGGAUGCGGAAUUCCAGGUGUAGCGGUGAAAUGCGUAGAUAUCUGGAGGAACACCAAUUGCGAAGGCAGCUCGCUGGGACGGUAACUGACGCUGAGACGCGAAAGCGUGGGGAGCAAACAGGG
rnacentral:rRNA from 1 species